CCCUCCUCCCCGCAGCAGUGGGGAAUAUUGGGCAAUGGGCGCAAGCCUGACCCAGCAACGCCGCGUGAAGGAAGAAGGCUUUCGGGUUGUAAACUUCUUUUAAGAGGGAAGAGAAGAAGACGGUACCUCUUGAAUAAGCAUCGGCUAACUCAGUGCUCGCAGCCGCGGUAAUACGGAGGAUGCGAGCGUUAUCCGGAUUUAUUGGGUUUAAAGGGUGCGUAGGCGGAUUUUUAAGUCAGCGGUAAAAUGUCCGGGCUCAACCCGGGCCGGCCGUUGAAACUGGGGAUCUUGAGUGGGCGAGAAGG
rnacentral:rRNA from 1 species